UUAGCCUUCUAUUCUUCUUCUCAGUCGAAGUCUCGAAGACUACCGCUAAAUAUUUUAGACUUUCCCUCCCGUUGUCCAAGACUACCGCCAAAUGGAUGGCAUCACCUGCAAGUCGGCAGCCACGACUGCUUCCGCCGUCCAAGCUCAGCAGACCGCCGGUGGCUCCUCAGAUCGCGCAUGUGUUCAAUUUCGCGGCGGAUCUACGGGCUCAACUCAACAUCGCGGAGGAUUACGCCGUGCCCUUCCUCUCCUCUUCUUUGGAAGCCACAACUGAGAGAAUGUUCAAGCUAAGCUGGGGUUGAAAACCAUCUUUAAUAGUAUGUUCUAGUGCUUUGAUAUUCAUACUGUAGAACUAUCUUUAAAGUCAAUGUGGUCUAGCUGGACUUGUGAAUGGCAUCAAGGAUUUGGUCAUUGCAUCCAAAGAUCAAAGUAGGUAUUCAUAAGUUUGACCCAAUUGUACAUAUGUAUCUUAUGAUGUUCUAGAUUUCCAGUUUCCACCAGUGCAGAAAUGGUUUUCUCUUUUAUUUUGUUUGCUCAAGUAGUAUUGAUCUGCAUCAUUUCCUUUAGAUUUUGUAUGAAAUUGUAUUUCUCCCUUUAUGCACUGGAAACUAUAUUAAGUUUUGGGGUUUAGCCCCAAAUCUGUAUGUGUUGAGCCUAAUAAUGCUUGCAAAGAAAAACACUUUUAAACUCAAAUUUCAUAAGCGCAUGUAAAGAAGUACUAAUCUCACUAGUAUUCCAUUUACAUUUUUGAGAAAGAGCUGCCUUGAAUCUAUGCACAUUCUGCUUGUAAUCCUGCAUUGUCAAUUUCAAUUGUUACGGACUUUACUGAUUCAAAAUUUUGUCUAGGUUGCUUAUGUUUUUCUUCUUCUAUAGUAAUAUCUACCUAUAUUUAGUUUGAUGUUAGUUCAA